CCUAAUACAUGCAAGUCGAGCGGAUUGAUGGGAGCUUGCUCCCUGAUAUCAGCGGCGGACGGGUGAGUAACACGUGGGUAACCUGCCUGUAAGACUGGGAUAACUCCGGGAAACCGGGGCUAAUACCGGAUAACUCAUUUCCUCGCAUGAGGAAAUGUUGAAAGGUGGCUUUUAGCUACCACUUACAGAUGGACCCGCGGCGCAUUAGCUAGUUGGGGAGGUAACGGCUCACCAAGGCGACGAUGCGUAGCCGACCUGAGAGGGUGAUCGGCCACCCUGGGACUGAAACACGGCCCAAACUCCUACGGGAGGCAGCAGUAGGGAAUCUUCCGCAAGGGACAAAAGUCUGACGGACCAACGCCGCGUGAGUGAUGAAGGUUUUCGGAUCGUAAAGCUCUGUUGUUAGGGAAAAACAAGUGCCGUUCAAAUAGGGCGGCACCUUGACGGUACCUAACCAGAAAGCCACGGCUAACUACGUGCCACCAGCCGCGGUAAUACGUAGGUGGCAAGCGUUGUCCGGAAUUAUUGGGCGUAAAGCGCGCGCAGGUGGUUCCUUAAUUCUGAUGUGAAAGCCCACGGCUCAACCGUGGAGGGUCAUUGGAAACUGGGGAACUUGAGUGCAAAAAAGGAAAGUGGAAUUCCAAGUGUAGCGGUGAAAUGCGUAAAUAUUUGGAGGAACACCAGUGGCGAAGGCGACUUUCUGGUCUGUAACUGACACUGAGGCGCGAAAGCGUGGGGAGCAAACAGGAUAAGAUACCCUGGUAGUCCACGCCGUAAACGAUGAGUGCUAAGUGUUAGGGGGUUUCCGCCCCUUAUUGCUGCAGCUAACGCAUUAUCACUCGGCCUGGGGAGUACGGUCGCAAGACUGAAACUCAAAGGAAUCGACGGGGGCCCGCACAAGCGUGUGAGCAUGUGGUUUAUUUCGAAGCAACGCGAAAACCUUACAA
rnacentral:rRNA from 2 species